rnacentral:tRNA from 1 species
GCGGGCGUGGUGGAAAUGGUAGACACGCAAGACUUAAAAUCUUGUUCCGGAUUUCGGAGUGCCGGUUCAAUUCCGGCCGCCCGCACCA